GAUGAACGCUAGCGGCAGGCUUAACACAUGCAAGUCGAGGGGUAUCACGCUUUCGGGCGUGAGAGACCGGCGCACGGGUGCGUAACGCGUAUGCAAUCUACCUUUUGCAGAGGGAUAGCCCAGAGAAAUUUGGAUUAAUACCUCAUAGUAUAGAACAAUCGCAUGAUUGAGCUAUUAAAGUCACAACGGCAAAAGAUGAGCAUGCGUCCCAUUAGUUAGUUGGUAAGGUAACGGCUUACCAAGACUACGAUGGGUAGGGGUCCUGAGAGGGAGAUCCCCCACACUGGUACUGAGACACGGACCAGACUCCUACGGGAGGCAGCAGUGAGGAAUAUUGGACAAUGGGCGCAAGCCUGAUCCAGCCAUGCCGCGUGCAGGAUGACGGUCCUAUGGAUUGUAAACUGCUUUUGUACGAGAAGAAACACUCCUAACGUGUAGGAGCUUGACGGUAUCGUAAGAAUAAGGAUCGGCUAACUCCGU
rnacentral:rRNA from 1 species